CAUGUUGAACCGCAUGGUUCUACAGUGAAAGACGGUCUUGCUGUCACUUAUAGAUGGACCCGCGCCGUAUUAGCUAGUUGGUGGGGUAACGGCCUACCAAGGCGACGAUACGUAGCCGACCUGAGAGGGUGAUCGGCCACACUGGAACUGAGACACGGUCCAGACUCCUACGGGAGGCAGCAGUAGGGAAUCUUCCGCAAUGGGCGAAAGCCUGACGGAGCAACGCCGCGUGAGUGAUGAAGGUCUUCGGAUCGUAAAGCUCUGUUGUUAGGGAAGAACAAAUGUGUAAGUAACUGUGCACAUCUUGACGGUACCUAACCAGAAAGCCACGGCUAACUACGUGCCAGCAGCCGCGGUAAUACGUAGGUGGCAAGCGUUAUCCGGAAUUAUUGGGCGUAAAGCGCGCGUAGGCGGUUUUUUAAGUCUGAUGUGAAAGCCCACGGCUCAACCGUGGAGGGUCAUUGGAAACUGGAAAACUUGAGUGCAGAAGAGGAAAGUGGAAUUCCAUGUGUAGCGGUGAAAUGCGCAGAGAUAUGGAGGAACACCAGUGGCGAAAGCGGCUUUCUGGUCUGCAACUGACGCUUAUGUGCGAAAGCGUGGGGAUCAAACAGGAUUAGAUACCCUGGUAGUCCACGCCGUAAACGAUGAGUGCUAAGUGUUAAGGGGGUUUCCGCCCCUUAAUGCUGCAGCUAACGCAUUAAGCACUCCCCCUGGGGAGUACGGUCGCAAGACUGAAACUCAAAGGAAUUGACGGGGACCCCCACAAGCGGUGGAGCAUGUGGUUUAAUUCCAAGCAACGCGGAGAACCUUACCAAAUCUUGACAUCCUUUGACCGCUCUAGAGAUAGAGUUUUCCUCUUCCGAGGACAGAUGACAGGUGGUGCAUGGUUGUCGUCACCUCCUGUCGUGAGAUGUUGGGUUAAUUCCCCACCACCGCAACCCUUGAACUUAAUUGCCAUCAUUCAUUUGGCACUCUUAGUGUACUGCCGGUGACAACCCGA
rnacentral:rRNA from 1 species